rnacentral:tRNA from 1 species
AAAUAAGAAGUAAAAUAUUACAUUUAGUUUCGACCUAAAAACAUGGUGAUAAAUCACCCUUAUUUA